rnacentral:rRNA from 1 species
UACGUAGGGGGCAAGCGUUGUCCGGAUUUAUUGGGCGUAAAGAGCGUGUAGGCGGCUUUACAGGUCCGUUGUGAAAACUCGAGGCUCAACCUCGAGACGCCGGUGGAAACCGUAAGGCUAGAGUCCGGAAGAGGAGAGUGGAAUUCCUGGUGUAGCGGUGAAAUGCGUAGAUAUCAGGAGGAACACCGGUGGCGAAAGCGCUCAUCUGGCCCAAUACUGACGCUGAGGCGCGAAAGCUAGGGGAGCAAACGGG